UACGGGGGGGGCAAGCGUUGUUCGGAAUUACUGGGCGUAAAGGGCUCGUAGGCGGCCAACUAAGUCAGACGUGAAAUCCCCCGGCUUAACCUGGGAACUGCGUCUGAUACUGGAAGGCUUGAGGAUGGGAGAGGGAUGUAGAAUUCCAGGUGUAGCGGUGAAAUGCGUAGAUAUCGGAAGGAACAUCAGUGGCGAAAGCGACUUCCUGGACCAGUACCGACGUUCAGGCACGAAAGCGUGGGGAGCAAACAGG
rnacentral:rRNA from 1 species